rnacentral:miRNA from 1 species
UGCAAAGUAGUGAACAUAAUUUAU